UUUGUUGGAACGUUAAAUCUUUUGGCAGUGUAAGAGAGAAGUCCUUCGGAGCUGGAAUCGUUCGCCACGACAAACGUAAAAUUAAUAGCCGUCCUUUACUGCGCGGCCCUAUAGUCAGGCAUAGGCUGGUGGGGGACCAUAAAUUUCAGCACACAGAUUCAAAAUGAUCCCCUUUAUUGCCCGAAACCCGGGUUAGUUCUACCUCGACCUGGACCCCGUGCAGUCGGUCCAUCGACUCUCGAGUCUCGUUUCUUUCGUAGCCGUAGAUUUCCUUGCUUUCUCUUGGCUCAACCAAACUCGCCGUUAAUCGUGAGUCGUUGCUCCCGUCGCACCGUGCGAAUCGCCCUUAGAUUGCUCGGUGUCGCCGCCAGACGUGAAUGCAACAACGUGGGUGUCGAAUGGAUCCUUGCACCUUUUCCAUUAUCAAAGCCACUCCCUUUUGAUCGUCGAUCAACAGGAAGAUUCCAUAGUGGAUCGAAAUACCGUGGAUGACAUAAUCCAUCCAUGCAACGGACCCAUCGAUCGCGAAGAACACAGGCGACGGGAAGCGAGCCGAUUCUUUUAUGGCGUACUCGAUCCGAGAUUCAAAAGGGCAGCGAGCCACGAAUGCGAAUCGCGGUGUUGGUCGGUGUAUGGAAAAGGAAAUCGACCGGCGAUCGGGAUUUAUUAUUCAACACACGGAGCCCGGACGUUCCUUCCUUCUUGAAGCAUUCCACGAUAUACGAUACUCGAUGCCAGUCGAAGACAGCACCUCUUGCAAGCAUCGUGUGUCUGAGCGAAGAUCGACGGAAAUAGCGUGCACGACGUUCUCUCUUCCUGCAUCUACGUAAUCGUUGAUCAAAUUCGAAGAUUUCUUCGUAGCAGAAAAUGGAAUUCGGUAGCGAACAGCGUUCCUAUAGUUUGUCGGACAGUCUUCCGAGAAAAAUUUCCAUGGGGUUGAUACAGAGGAUCUUCGAAAGAAGAAAAUUGUGAAAAUCUUUGGUGACAGAAGACGCUUUUCUCUUCGUCGAAAGACCAACAAAUACGAUGAAACAAUGUGAAGAUAAAAAAAUGUAUGUUGCAUGUUUCCGGUGUGCAAGGAAGAAGUUAGGAAGAGAAGAAGAGAGAAGCUUCGUCACGGAGGCCUCACAAGCAACGAUACGUGGGUAAACUCGGAGAAGACGUAUUGCACGUGAGUAGAGGACGACAGGCAGAAUGUUGGUUGAGUGACGUAUGAUACGAGGAUGAAGUUACGCUGUGGCGAACGACGUGUCGCCGAUUUAUCGAGUUAAGUCGUCCCAAGGCUUAUCGGCUUUCGUGUUCCCGGCCACUUGUUUUUCGCCAUCCGUCGAAUAUUUGUGACAAUUCACGCUGUCUACCACUGUAUUUAUAGUAUGGUAUCGUGUCGCCAUGUAGCAGGUAACAUUUUUAUUUUUAUUCGAGUAGGUACGAUGAUGGAAAAGCGUGCAGGGUGAUUUAUGGAAGGUAGUCAGUGUUAAUUAGAAGGUUAAUGGAGAUCAUCCGAUAAAAGAGUUUAAGUUGAUGAUGGAUAUCGAUUGCUGGAAAUUACUUUACCUGAAUUUAACAUCGUUUCGGCAAUUCUUUUCUAUUUUUCAUGCCAGGCUACUCGAGACCAUUACAACAUUAUUUUCCCUGUCGCUUUAAGCUCUGUCUAUACAUUUUUUUCUACUAAUCCAUUUAUAGAAUUUUUAUACUUCAAUCUUCCUUCCAUUUUGGGGAAUAAAAGAGAAUUCUCAUGCUUUAAGAUGUUUAACGUAUAAUUGGGAGAGUCCAGGGAUCAAGCGAACAAAAAUGAAUAUAAAUUUCCUAAAAUAAAAUGAAGGAAAUGACAAAUAAACAAAUCUCAAACGAACUCUGAGA